GGGUUAUAGCUCAGUGGCAGAGCAUGUGCUUUGGAUGUAAAAUAUCCCAGGUUCAAUUCCUGGCAUCUCCA